CGAUUCUUGGUCAUUUAGAGGAAGUAAAAGUCGUAACAAGGUUUCCGUAGGUGAACCUGCGGAGGGAUCAUUACAGAGUUCAUGCCCUCCGGGUAGAUCUCCCACCCACUGCUAUCACUACUCUCGUUGCUUUGGCGGGCCGCUGGGCCCUGCCCGGCCGCCGGCCCCGGCUGGCGCGUGCCCGCCAGAGACCUCACAGACUCUGAAUGUUAGUGUCGUCCGAGUAACUAUACAAUCGUUAAAACUUUCAACAACGGAUCUCUUGGUUCUGGCAUCGAUGAAGAACGCAGCGAAAUGCGAUAAGUAAUGCGAAUUGCAGAAUUCAGUGAGUCAUCGAAUCUUUGAACGCACAUUGCGCCCUGUGGUAUUCCGCAGGGCAUGCCUGUUCGAGCGUCAUUUCAACCCUCAAGCCUCGCUUGGUGUUGGGCCCUGCCCGCCGCGGCCGGCCCUAAAGAUAGUGGCGGCGCCGCCUGGCCCUCAGCGUAGUACAGCUCUCGCUCCAGGGUCCGGCGGCAGCCUGCCAGAACCCCCCCCAACUCUGUGGUUGACCUCGGAUCAGGUAGGGAUACCCGCUGAACUUAAGCAUAUCAAUAAGCGGAGGA
rnacentral:rRNA from 1 species